AUUGAACGCUGGCGGCAGGCCUAACACAUGCAAGUCGAACGCGUGGCGGACGGGUGCGUAAUGUCUGGGAAACUGCCUGAUGGAGGGGGCUAACUACUGGAAACGGUAGCUAAUACCGCAUACCAUCGGAUGUGCCCAGAUGGGAUUAGAUAGUAGGUGGGGUAACGGCUCACCUAGGCGACGAUCCCUAGCUGGUCUGAGAGGAUGACCAGCCAAACUGGAAAUGAGACACGGGCCAGACUCCUACGGGAGGAAGCAGUGGGGAAUAUUGCACAAUGGGCGCAAGCCGUAUGCAGCCAUGCCGCGUGUAUGAAGAAGGCCUUCGGGUUGUAAAGUACUUUCAGCGGGGAGGCGUUACCCGCAGAAGAAGCACCGGCUAACUCCGUGCCAGCAGCCGCGGUAAUUC
rnacentral:rRNA from 1 species